rnacentral:rRNA from 1 species
AAAAAAGGUAAGCUACUAAGAGCGAAUGGUGGAUGCCUUGACUGGUAAAGGCGAUGAAGGACGUACUAGACUGCGAUAAGCUACGGGGAGCUGUCAAGAAGCUUUGAUCCGUAGAUUUCCGAAUGGGGCAACCCAAUGUAUAGAGAUAUACAUUACCUAUAUAGGAGCGAACGAGGGGAAUUGAAACAUCUUAGUACCCUCAGGAAAAGAAAUCAAUAGAGAUUGCGUCAGUAGCGGCGAGCGAAAGCGCAAGAGGGCAAACCCAGUGCUUGCACUGGGGGUUGUAGGACUGCAAUGUGCAAGAGGUAAGUUUAGCAGAACAUUCUGGAAAGUAUAACCAUAGAGGGUGAUAGUCCCGUAUGCGAAAAACAAACCUUAGCUAGCAGUAUCCUGAGUAGGGCGGGACACGAGAAAUCCUGUCUGAAGCUGGGUCGACCACGAUCCAACCCUAAAUACUAAUACCAGAUCGAUAGUGCACAAGUACCGUGAGGGAAAGGUGAAAAGAACUGAGGUGAUCAGAGUGAAAUAGAACCUGAAACCAUUUGCUUACAAUCAUUCAGAGCCCUAUGUAGCAAUACAGGGUGAUGGACUGCCUUUUGCAUAAUGAGCCUGCGAGUUGUGGUGUCUGGCAAGGUUAAGCAAACGCGAAGCCGUAGCGAAAGCGAGUCUGAAUAGGGCGCUUAGUCAGAUGCUGCAGACCCGAAACGAAGUGAUCUAUCCAUGAGCAAGUUGAAGCUAGUGUAAGAACUAGUGGAGGACUGAACCCAUAGGCGUUGAAAAGCCCCGGGAUGACUUGUGGAUAGGGGUGAAAGGCCAAUCAAACUUCGUGAUAGCUGGUUCUCUCCGAAAUAUAUUUAGGUAUAGCGUUGUGUCGUAAUAUAAGGGGGUAGAGCACUGAAUGGGCUAGGGCAUACACCAAUGUACCAAACCCU